rnacentral:rRNA from 1 species
GUGGGGAAUAUUGGACAAUGGGCGAAAGCCUGAUCCAGCCAUGCCGCGUGUGUGAAGAAGGUCUUCGGAUUGUAAAGCACUUUAAGUUGGGAGGAAGGGUAGUAACCUAAUACGUUGCUACUUUGACGUUACCGACAGAAUAAGCACCGGCUAACUUCGUGCCAGCAGCCGCGGUAAUACGAAGGGUGCAAGCGUUAAUCGGAAUUACUGGGCGUAAAGCGCGCGUAGGUGGUUCAGUAAGUUGGAAGUGAAAUCCCCGGGCUCAACCUGGGAACUGCUUUCAAAACUGCUGAGCUAGAGUACGGUAGAGGGUGGUGGAGUUUCCUGUGUAGCGGUGAAAUGCGUAGAUAUAGGAAGGAACACCAGUGGCGAAGGCGACCACCUGGACUGAUACUGACACUGAGGUGCGAAAGCGUGGGGAGCAAACAGGAUUAGAUACCCGAGUAGUCC